rnacentral:rRNA from 1 species
GAUGAACGCUGGCGGCGUGCCUAAUACAUGCAAGUCGAGCGAACGGACGAGAAGCUUGCUUCUCUGAUGUUAGCGGCGGACGGGUGAGUAACACGUGGAUAACCUACCUAUAAGACUGGGAUAACUUCGGGAAACCGUAGCUAAUACCGGAUAAUAUUUUGAACCGCAUGGUUCAAAAGUGAAAGACGGUCUUGCUGUCACUUAUAGAUGGAUCCGCGCUGCAUUAGCUAGUUGGUAAGGUAACGGCUUACCAGGGCAACGAUGCAUAGCCGACCUGAGAGGGUGAUCGGCCGCACUGGAACUGAGACACGGUCCAGACUCCUACGGGAGGCAGCAGUAGGGAAUCUUCCGCAAUGGGCGAAAGCCUGACGGAGCAACGCCGCGUGAGUGAUGAAGGUCUUCGGAUCGUAAAACUCUGUUAUUAGGGAAGAACAUAUGUGUAAGUAACUGUGCACAUCUUGACGGUACCUAAUCAGAAAGCCACGGCUAACUACGUG